UAAUACGGAGGAUCCGAGCGUUAUCCGGAUUUAUUGGGUUUAAAGGGUGCGUAGGUGGUUUUUUAAGUCAGCGGUGAAAGUUUGUGGCUCAACCAUAAAAUUGCCGUUGAAACUGGGAGACUUGAGUGUGUCUGGGGCAGGCGGAAUGCGUGGUGUAGCGGUGAAAUGCUUAGAUAUCACGCAGAACCCCGAUCGCGAAGGCAGCUUGCCAAGCCACGACUGACACUGAAGCACGAAAGCGUGGGGAUCAAACAGG
rnacentral:rRNA from 1 species